CAUUUCCCACUUAGGCUGCUAUUUCCAGGGAAUGAUUAUUUGAUUGUAACAUUUGUUCCAGGCAGCAACGGGCCAAGGAGAGGUCUUAGCUCAAAAGCACCUUCCACCUACUUAAAAGCAACAGCCACCACAGCGUACUCAAUUUAAAAUGAUGGAAAUCAACAACAAAAACCUCAGAUAUUUUGAGUUCUGGAGGACAGAAAGGGUUGUUUUGACAAUGGCGUGAAGUUUAUGACUGCGGGUCAUCAAGAGUUCAUUGUCUGGCAUUCUGGCAUGGGCAUGAUUGAAGGAGCUGCCAAAACAUCACUGAGCACAAAUCUGGAAGAUGGAAUAAGUGGAGACAGGAGGUCUCAAUCAGCUCUCUCCUUUUUGGGAGUUUGCGCACUGAGGAGAGCAGGGUUGGCAGCAGCAAGAGAGAGAAAGAAAAUGUUUGCUGACCUCUGACAGAUGAUAAGUGGUGGAACCAGGAGUGAAAUAAUGCACCUGUCUAUGGAUGCCUCAAUCUAGGGUUACAUCAGGAACAUGCCUUCUCUAAAUGAAAAAAGCAAUGGUGGCAGCAGACAGCAAAA
rnacentral:lncRNA from 1 species